AGUGAACGCUGGCGGUAGGCCUAACACAUGCAAGUCGAACGGCAGCACAGGAGAGCUUGCUCUCUGGGUGGCGAGUGGCGGACGGGUGAGGAAUACAUCGGAAUCUACUUUUUCGUGGGGGAUAACGUAGGGAAACUUACGCUAAUACCGCAUACGACCUACGGGUGAAAGCAGGGGACCUUCGGGCCUUGCGCGAUUGAAUGAGCCGAUGUCGGAUUAGCUAGUUGGCGGGGUAAAGGCCCACUAAGGCGACGAUCCGUAGCUGGUCUGAGAGGAUGAUCAGCCACACUGAAACUGAGACACGGUCCAGACUCCGACGUGAGGCAGCAGUGGGGAAUAUUGGACAAUGGGCGCAAGCCUGAUCCAGCCAUACCGCGUGGGUGAAGACGGCCUUCGGGUUGUAAAGCCCUUUUGUUGGGAAAGAAAUCCAUCUGGUUAAUACCCGGGUGGGAUGACGGUACCCAAAGAAUAAGCACCGGCUAACUUCGUGCCAGCCGCCGCCGUAA
rnacentral:rRNA from 1 species